rnacentral:lncRNA from 10 species
AAGAAAUAUUCUGUUUCUGGCCUCCCAUCUUGGUGGGGGAUGUGCAGGCUGAGAACACAGGAGCUGACUUCUAUUGUAUCAGCUGAGACUGCAGGGUAGACUGCAAGAAGUGCCUCCUUGCUGAUGGACUGGCAGAUGAGAGUGGAGGUUGUAAAUCACCCUCCAUGCAAUGGUUCAUCAUAAAGGAUAUGGAGCAAAAUUAGAGGAGGCACGAGAAGGAAAGCCGGUGAUGAACAAGGAAAGUGCCUGGUUGAAGCUAGCUUGCAAUCCCAAAGUCAGAAGGUUGCCUGGGAAGCCAUGAAACAAAGCCAAAUCAAGGCAAAGCAGACACAUGGAGAUUUUGAGACUGAGAAGAGGAAAACUGAGGACAUUCAUGUGAGAUGGUUUCAAGUUUCCCUUAGAAGGAGAAGUUAUCUUCAGAAGGUCAGGUUGGUGAGGUGGGAGUUCAAAAACAACAAAGUAUGUAGCUACCAUUGUGAGGAAGACCAUGGA